rnacentral:tRNA from 2 species
GGGGGGUGGAUCGGAUAGAUCACACGGACUCUAAAUUCGUGCAGCCGGGUGAAACUCCCGGACUCCCCGCCA